rnacentral:rRNA from 1 species
AACGAACGCUGGCGGCGCGCCUAAUACAUGCAAGUCGAGCGAGAAGACGUAGCAAUACGUUUGUAAAGCGGCGAACGGGUGAGGAAUACAUGGGUAACCUACCCUCGAGUGGGGAAUAACUAGCCGAAAGGUUAGCUAAUACCGCGUACGCUCCUUGGACUUCGGUUCAGGGAGGAAAGCGAUACCGUGGGUAUCGCGCUCUUGGAUGGGCUCAUGUCCUAUCAGCUUGUUGGNGAGGUAACGGCUCACCAAGGCUUCGACGGGUAGCUGGUCUGAGAGGACGAUCAGCCACACUGGCACUGCGACACGGGCCAGACUCCUACGGGAGGCAGCAGUAAGGAAUAUUGCGCAAUGGGCGAAAGCCUGACGCAGCGACGCCGCGUGGGGGAUGGAAGGUC